GAGUGUAGCUCAGUGAUAGAAUACUUGCCUAGCAUGAUGGAGGUCCUGGGUUCCAUCCCCAGCACCA
rnacentral:tRNA from 1 species